CAGAAGAUAGUUUAGUUAAAAUACCAACUUUGGGAGUUGGGGCCAUAAAGUUAAGUUUAUUUUUUUGA
rnacentral:tRNA from 1 species